GACGAACGCUGGCGGCGUGCUUAACACAUGCAAGUCGAACGGAAAGGCCUCUUUCGGGGGGUACUCGAGUGGCGAACGGGUGAGUAACACGUGAGUAACCUGCCCUUGACUUUGGGAUAACUUCAGGAAACUGGGGCUAAUACCGGAUAGGAGCUCCUGCUGCAUGGUGGGGGUUGGAAAGUUUCGGCGGUUGGGGAUGGACUCGCGGCUUAUCAGCUUGUUGGUGGGGUAGUGGCUUACCAAGGCUUUGACGGGUAGCCGGCCUGAGAGGGUGACCGGCCACAUUGGGACUGAGAUACGGACCAGACUCCUACGGGAGGCAGCAGUGGGGAAUAUUGCACAAUGGGUGGAAGCCUGAUGCAGCAACGCCGUGUGCGGGAUGACGGCCUUCGGGUUGUAAACCACUUUCGCUCAUGACGAAGCUUUGUGUGACGGUAGUGGGUAAAGAAGCACCGGCUAACUACGUG
rnacentral:rRNA from 1 species